rnacentral:tRNA from 1 species
GUUCUUAUAGUUGAAGGUACAACGAUGGUUUUUCAGACCAUAGGUCCUAGUUGAUGCCUAGGUGAGAAUU